GCCAUUGAAGAAAAUGGUCAUGUUGGAGGUUAGGAGAGAUCCAUUUGAGAGCACAAGGGGAAGACAGCCAUGUACAAGCCAAGGAGAGAAGCCUCAGAAGAAACCAAACCUGCAGACCCUUUGAUCUUGGACUUCAAGCCUCCAGAAUUACUGUCAUUGAGGAAGCCACUUGAGAAUUAAGAAAAUCCUCAUCCCUUUGCUGCACUUGAUAAGUGGUAAUAGGACCAGACCCAAGGAAAAAAUUGCUCUCGGUUAAUCAUGCCUACUCCAUUCCCUUUGGCAAUGAUUGGCUAAGGAUAGGCAUAUAAUUCAAUCUAAGGAAAUAAAAGGAAAACUCAGAAGUCAUCUGGGAAUUUUUUUUCUUCCUUA